CUAUCCUUGGAUUCUGCUAUACCUUGACUUCUGCCUUCAAGUGUGAGACUACCGAUUGCUUGAAACGAUACGUCAUGCAUAGAGGAACUCUAAUCUGUUUCAACUUGCUUGUGCAGUUCUUGUCUGGUGGACAAUCUGAGGUCGAAGCAACUUUGAACUUGAAUGCCAUGAACCAGAGCCCCAACCCAUGGCACGUGUCUUUCUCAUACGCCCGUGCCCUUCAGAACUCUGUCUUGAAGACAUGGAAGGGACAGCCAGAGAAUGUGGAGGCUGCCCAGAGGGCACUCCUUGUGCGUGCUAAGGCUAACUCUUUGGCUCAGUUGGGUAAGUACUCCGCUGAGGGCGAGGCUG
rnacentral:lncRNA from 1 species